UACGGAGGGGGCUAGCGUUGUUCGGAAUUACUGGGCGUAAAGCGCGCGUAGGCGGACCUGCAAGUCGGGGGUGAAAGCCCGAGGCUCAACCUCGGAACUGCCUUCGAUACUGCGGGUCUCGAGUCCGGGAGAGGUGAGUGGAAUUCCUAGUGUAGAGGUGAAAUUCGUAGAUAUUAGGAAGAACACCAGUGGCGAAGGCGGCUCACUGGCCCGGUACUGACGCUGAGGCGA
rnacentral:rRNA from 1 species